GGUGGGAGGGGGAAAAGGGUUAAUUGCGUUAGAUUACCAGGGCGGCUAGAGCCCGGCCCCACCUGUGAUGUCCCAGCAUGCCUCACAUGUGUGGUCAGGGAAGCGCGACAGGACGCUUGGGCCUUCAUGAAUGGGGACUGGUUAGAGCCCAGGAACUCCGAACUGGGGACGAAGAGAGAAGACACCUAGGGCCCUACAUGGAAGCACCAGAGCCGCAAACCCAGCACCCGAUUCAGGAAUUAAGGAACUGGCUCCCGAAUCGGGGCUAAAAAGCCCAGAUGCCCGCACAGGGCUGGGCCAAGACAACAAAUACCAGCAUGCCUCGCGCUCCAAGAAUUUGGGAAACCCGGAGGCUUUGGCUUGGAGCGGGAGCUGGACUACACUCCCGGCAUGGCCUGGGACAUGAAUAAAACAGGCGGAGGGGGUGGUGCGUCCUGGGACACAGACGGGACAAGCUGGUGCGGCGGGAGGAGGGUCUGAAACUACAGGUCCCCGCACGUCCUGGGACACAGACGGGACAGGCUGGUGCGGCGGGAGGAGGGUCUGAAACUACAGGUCCCCGCACGCCCUGGGACACAGACGGGACAAGAAGGAGAGUCUGAAACUACAGGUCCCCGUAUGCCCUGGGACACAGACGGGACAAGAAGGAGAGUCUGAAACUACAGGUAACAUUUAUGGAGCACUUAUGUGUUAGGCCUUGAUAGUUCCUCUUUAUCAUCUCACCCACUCUGCCUCCACUUUACAGAAGAGAAGACAGGCGUAUUUGACUUGCUCAGGGUCACACAGUUUUGAGGGCCUGAAGCUGGAAGUCCCUAGAAGUUUGGUGGAAUCCAGAGUCCAGCAACGAUCCCUUGAGCUAUGCAUCUCUUCCCACACUUCCACUCUGACUAGCCCUUACUCCCAGUGGCUGUAUAAAAGGUCGAAUAAAAUAAAACAGAGUUUGAAAGUGC